rnacentral:lncRNA from 1 species
CUCACAGCUGCUGGUUUUGCUGUUUAAUGCAGUGGCAGCUCCUUUCUCUGUGGAGGCCGCAUCUUCUCGGAAAGAAGUGCUCCAGGCUGCAGGAGGGCAAACCAUGGGCUUCUCGCUGCCUGCAACACCACGAGGAGCCUGCUAAGUGAGUGCAGAGGGACAACAAGUGAGCUACUCUGGGAUGAUGCCACGGGUACUUCUUCACGGCUGUGGAAUAAGGUCCAGCUGACAAGCAAGGCUGGGGGAGCUGUGGAAGAAAAGUGCCCAGAGGAGAACAAGGGAUACAGUGCAGUCAGCUGGAGGUUUUACUGGAAUACACACACACACAGGGUUGAAAGUAAAUGUCAGGUGACCCAGAUGGAGCUGCACCCUGAACAACCUGAGCACAGAAACAACAGGAAAUUGGAGAGGAAAUUCACUCACUUUAGCACUGUGAGAAGUGAAAGGAUUUUUGUCACCACUUUUCCUAAAGAGCUGAAGCAUUCCAUGUUUUCUGGAGUCCCAGAACCACGUGCACUUUGCCUGUGUUGAUGUCAGUUGUCCUCACUGCUGCUCCAAAAGUUUCCUUGGAAUGAAGGGACAUUCUGCCUCCCUGCCUGAGCCAAAUCCUGGAAUCAUUUUUCGGAGCUGCUGUCAGAAGUUGACAUUUUUUCACUGUUUGUUUCAGGUGACAAGAGCUCAGGUGAGCUUUUGCAAGCAAUUCAUUAAUUCCCUUGAUUUCCAAGCUGGAGGAAAACAAAUUGCUUUAC